rnacentral:lncRNA from 1 species
CCUGGGCCUCUCUGUGGGCUGUGGGCUGCGGGCAGGGCAGGGCCCUCCCCUGUGUCCUCAUGUGGACCCCUCUAUGCCCUCUGUGCGCCCUCCUCUCAUGGGCCGUCGCCAAGUACAGUCGAGCUCCGAGGGGACCGGAGGCCACAGUGCAGCCCAUGGUGCUGAGCAAGGCUGGAGCUGGAGGUGUCGGGGACAUGGGUGUGGGGACAUGGGUGUGGGGACAUAG